AUAGUAUAAAUAUAAAGGAAACCAAAGCAAAGUAUUCAGUUUGUGCAAAACAUUCAAAGGACAAACAGCGCGUAUAAACAGACCAGAAGAAAACAUGAAAUUCCCUAUUCUUCUCAGCUUUGUCCUGAUCGCUGUCGCUGUGGCGUUCGUUGCGCUAGCAAAUGCGGAUCCAGUCAAUACUAUUCAGCCAAACUGCUAUUCUCGCUGCUCUUGUGCCGGUAACUAUCACAGAAUAGUUGUCGCUCAACGUGUUGGAGGAACUGAACGAAGGAAUUUCACUAAUGAGUGCCUACUGGAUUGCCACAACUGCAACAAUCCGACACGCCAAUAUCAAAGAUUACAUUAAGAAUUUGGAAGAAAUAUUGAAUCGUAUACAGUUGGGCCAAAGAGCUCAAAUAUCAUUUCAUAUGAUGGCUCUUUCUGCAAUAAACUUCUCCAGAGUAAACCGAAACAA